GACGGAGGAUGCAAGCGUUAUCCGGAAUGAUUGGGCGUAAGCGUCCGCAGGUGGCAGUUCAAGUCUGCUGUCAAAGACCGGGGCUUAACUUCGGAAAGGCAGUGGAAACUGAACAGCUAGAGUAUGGUAGGGGCAGAGGGAAUUCCUGGUGUAGCGGUGAAAUGCGUAGAGAUCAGGAAGAACAUCGGUGGCGAAGGCGCUCUGCUGGACCAUAACUGACACUCAGGGACGAAAGCUAGGGGAGGCGAAUGGGA
rnacentral:rRNA from 1 species